CCGACAACGCCUGCACCAACCCCCCACAGAUACUUUGCCGCCUCCUUCGCACAGCAGGGACGCUUGAUACUACUGCUCCCAGCACUACCACCAGCACCACUAUUACUAUUACACGGUCGCGGCCGAGGCAGCGGCAGAGCAAACUUCGCCGUACCACAGCCGGCAUUCAUGAACGAAGAGGGAGUGGAGAGCGGCGGUGACUGUGGCUGCGGCUGCGGCUGCAGUUGCACUUCCAUCUGAAUCGGUUGUUGUGGUACUUGAGAGACGAGAAACGAGUCAGCAACCUGUGUAUCUGGGGCGACAACGGUGUUGCCAUCAUCCUCGUUGCUUCGGAGGGUGUGGAGGGAGGAGGAAGGCGACGAAGAAUAGAAUGAGAGGAGUUCUUCGCGCACGGUGGUGUGUAGGGCGAAGUCGUUGGAGGGGGUGCGGGUACGUUUGCGGGAGGUUCGGGUGGUGAUUGUGGUGGUUGAUGGAGUGGAGGGUUUCGAGGGUGGUGCAGAUGAAUUUGCGGUUGCGGUGUUGUUGGUUGGGUGGGAGAUUGCGAGAGAAGAGGAAAGGUGGAAAGAGCGGGGUAGGGCACCGGAGAGCUCGCAGAGGCCCUGAGCAGCUUCGUGGGCUAGGUCAAUAGAAGACGUGUCCAGCGCGAAGCUGGAAAGUUGUUGGUCUCCCAUAUUAUUUAGCUCCGCGCAGACGGAGGUAGAGAAUGAUUCUGGUGAUGCGUAGAAAUCUGGCCAGCUCCCCCCAUCGAUGGUGGGUACGUUCGUUACCGUGGUAAACGACGAGGUCUUCCGGUAUUCCUUCGCCGCAGGAGCGGCGAGCGAAUAAUUCUGCAUGUUCGCGCAUCGACGAGUCGCCCGCAUAGCCAAUCUUGGCUGCGCAGGCGCACAGGUCCCUGAUGCGACGGAUGAGAUGGAGGAAGAUCGUGACGAACGGGGUGAACGGGACGACGAUGAUGCAAGAGAGGGCACGUCAGAGAUCAUGGACUCUGGUGACGAAGUUGACGAAGCAGAUCGGGCCAGGGAGGAGCGGCGGCCUAGGUUGGAAUAGGUCUCGGUAGGGGCAGUCUUAUUAAAAGUACAAUUGGGGCGGGAGUCGAAGGCAGUACGUUGUGCGCAGAUACUGCGCGCUUGGGACAUGGCGGCACAGAUAGAGGGUUUCCGAGACAGAAAUCCACCAACGCUCACAGCAGGAGUGUUGACGGUGUUUGUCUGUGGGGUCAUCUGAGGAGUAGGGAGAGAAGGGAGCUGGGCAUAUGGGUUUGGCUCGAGUGUUGGGAAAACAGUUCUCGAUCCCGGGGUUGUCUGGUCAUGAGUUGGUAGUGGUGCUGCUGGGGAUGGUGGUGGUACGUUGGACAAUCCGUCCGGGAUGGGCGUAGGAAUUUGUGACGGUGUGACGCUGAUGCCAGAAAUGACAUGAUCAGUGACACCACGAUACCGGUCGGAUUCCAGAUCGACGCUGUCAAGUUCCGCAGUGAGCACAGGGAUAAUGUUCCGCCAGGUGAGGCCUUCGCCGUUUGGAGAACCACCCGCGCUGGGCGUGUACUUGAGAACAAUGUCCGUCCAACGCUGGAAGAUGGUUUCCGAAAUGUGAAGUUUCCAGCCCACAGCCUCGAGGAACGCCAGCUCAUUUUGAUUGAUCUCAAGUGUAUUCAAACCCGAAAUUUUGCUCCACGCUCUGGCGGAGUAAUUUCGAUCCUGGAGAUACUUAGAGGCCAAAAUAAGUGCAGAAAGGAACAUUCGCCUGCCACAUUGCAUAGCACGAGAGCACGGGUGGUUCCUGGGUUGCUCCAUGGUGAAAUCUUGUUUAGGUACAUGAGGCUUAAUCAUGAUAAGAUAGUACAGGGCAACUUGAAGAGUCGAAUAGCUGGUUCUUGACCGUCGAAGGGUUUCCUGGAUGAAAGUGCGCAGUGGCAAAACCCCCUUGAACCCAAGGGAGAAUCAUUGCGGAGCGCUACCACUGAUAACGGCCAGAUAGUUUCGACGAUCUGAGACGCAGAGUCGACAAGAUUGUCAACGAAAUUGACUUUCCGAUCACACUGGCGGACCAGCGAGGGUGGGGCCCGCGAACAGGCAGAUGACAAUGAGGUGUUACUAUUGGUACGUCGGGGAUUCUGCCGCAAUUCAGGAGCAACCGCAGCGUCAGCGACUUUAGGGCCACAACCUCUUCCAGAACGGAAGCAGUGGAAGUUCGAUUCACUUGACGAGCUCAACGUUCUAGCUCCUCCGGCCGGUUGCUGUGAUGAUGAGUCACCAGCUCCUAAGACCUCAUUUUCCCAGAUCACGUCGACAGAACUAACUGACGACGAGAGUGAAUAUUGGGAAGAGGAGUCGAGGGAGAAGACUGAGGACGAGGAAGACGACGCAGACGAGGCGAUUGACGAAGUGCACGGGUGUGGGAGAGGUUGCAGGACACUCUUUGGAAGGCUCGGGUUGGCAAGGUUGAAACCCAAGAUGUCCAUUACAGGCAUAUUUUCGAGGGAAGUAUAUCAAGAGCGGUCGCAAAAUGCACCUGCUGAUGAAAUGAAGGAAAACAGUAGGUUGGCAUUAAAGGUUUUCCUUUGUUGCGGCGAGGGGAUGGGGGAAGGGUAGUGGAGAGGGAGUGCAAAGCUUUUUAAAUAUCGUUCAACAAUGUGCCUGGACGAUGGAACGGGCGAUUCGGUCAAAACGCCAGUGCGUUUAUUGUCUGUUGUGCGGAAGAGGGGGAAAUAAACCGUUUAGAUAAAGGCCGUGUAAGAUAUGCAGUAGGAUAGUCCCGUCUUGGUAAUUGUUCGAGAGGAGACGGGGAGCCCUCUCUAUACUAUGGCAGAACCCAGGGUGAAAGCAGAGGUACUUCCUAAAUUUGAUGUAAGGGAUGGGCUAAGGGAUAAGCCGCAAUUAGGUUUAGGUGAAUCGGGAUUCCAGGCAGGAAAUAAACGAGAAAAAGGAAGGCAGUUUGGUGGACGAUGUAAAUUGCGCCGCAAGAAAAAAAAAAAGGGAGGAGAGGGUAAGAGUAUUAUUGGUGUCAAGGGCGAUAUCCGAUCACCAGCAGUAGACGGUUCCAAAGUUGUAUGUAUGUCGGUAGGCGAUAUGUAGAGGUAGGCAUAAGGGAGUGGAAGGGAGGAGAGGCAAAAGGGAGAGCUGAGGUCUGGUAGGGAUGUUAUAAGAGGGCAACAACAAGAUUAUAUAACUGGAUCUAUAUGCAGGUACCAAGCAGCGGAGAGCGCAGGUUGAUAUGUAUACCGAGGCGGGUGGCGUGCACUCGGCUCAUCAUACAAGGGCAACGUGACUCUUCAGGGGCGGAGGCACUCGAUCGACUCUAGACGCGGCCAGUCAUAAUCACAGCCAUUAUUGUCGUAGUUGUAGUAGUAGCAACGCGUAGGAAUGCAACUUUGGAAUCUGCUGAGAUGGCGAUCGGAUCGGAGGAAUAUGACAGAGCAGGGUACAUCGUCACCCUGCAGCCAACACACAAACACGCGGGAAGGGGGUUGGAAGAAGAAGAAAAAACGAGGCUGGUGGUUGAAGCAGGCAACACCAGCUAAGGCUUGCGCUUAUCCAGCAGACCUCUUCGUUCUAGCUAGGUAACAGGAUGGUUUCUCUGGCACGUUAGGCACGCGCUGUUUCAAAGGGUCGUCAAGGGAAGUAAAAACCAACCCGAUCUCCCGACCGUGGUGGCCAGGCAGAUCGAGUACACGGGGAUGGUGUGAGCUGGGUAUUAGAGACUCCGGAUACGAAGGAAAGUUGAGGCGAGGCGAGGCGAGGCGGCGAGGAGGAGGACAGGAGGACAGGAGGAAGAGAGAAUAGGUCGGGGGAACU
rnacentral:sRNA from 1 species